GGCCCUGACACUGCUACCCCUGCAUCAUGCGGGUGCUGUCGCUGCUGCUGCUACUGGGGCUCUGCUGCCUCUGGGCCCGGCUGGUGGCUGCAGGGUUCACCUAACCCCUGUUUGGACCUGGACCAAGGACCCCACUUGUGCAGUCUCGUGCCAGGUAGCCGGGCAGCCGGACAUGGACUCAUCCAUCGACUGCAGAGCGAGAACCCAUCAUCCCCCAUCCCAAAUCCACUCCUCAGCGCUCAGCUCAGAACUGGGCACGGGGGUCUCUGUGCUUCUUCCUUGCUAUUAAAUCCCAUCUGCAAUGAGCUCUGCUGGUUCCCGUGGUGUCAGUCUCCUGCUGAACCCUUGUUGGACCCCCAAUCCCCGUGGGAGGGAAGUGCCAUGGCAGACAGUUGGUCCUGGGGUCAGCACACACAUCCUGCCUGCAGCCUCACGCCAGGCUGCUCCUCCAGGCUAUGACGUGUCAGGGGCAUCUCUGGGUCUGUGGAAGAAGCUGGGAACGGUACAUCCAUGCAAGCUCCCAGAUGGCUUGGAGAUGCCAGGCACUGUGACAAGGGACAGCUUGUUGUGUUGAGCAAGUGGCCCACUGUGGGAUUUAUUAGGAAAUAGAAGGUCCUGCCCAAAACAGCGCUGGUGUCCAGGACUGGCCCUGGCAGAGUGAGGCGAGGGGAGGCUGGGGGCAGCUCCGUGUGCCCACCUGCCAUGGGCUGUCAUUGCACCUUGUGCCCUGCACACGCCCCACAGUGCUGGUCACCAAGCAUCAUCGCGCCAGCAUCGCUGCCAUCUCCACCACUGUAAUCUUCAGUCAUCACCGUCACCGUAUCCAUCGGCAUCUCCAUAGUCAUUCCCAUUUCCACCGUUGUCAUCACUGCCAUUGUUACCGUCACCAUUAUCGUCAUCAUCAUAGCCCUCGUCGUCAUUGUAGCC